rnacentral:rRNA from 1 species
CCUACGGGUGGCUGCAGUGAGGAAUAUUGGUCAAUGGGCUUACGCCUGAACCAGCCAAGUCGCGUGAGGGAAGACUGCCCUAUGGGUUGUAAACCUCUUUUGUCAGGGAGCAAAGGGCGCCACGUGUGGCGCUUUGCGUGUACCUGAAGGAAAAGCAUCGGCUAACUCCGUGCCAGCAGCCGCGGUAAUACGGAGGAUGCGAGCGUUAUCCGGAUUUAUUGGGUUUAAAGGGUGCGCAGGCGGAAUGUCAAGUCAGCGGUAAAAUUUCGGGGCUCAACCCCGUCGUGCCGUUGAAACUGGCGGUCUUGAGUGAGCGAGAAGUAGGCGGAAUGCGUGGUGUAGCGGUGAAAUGCAUAGAUAUCACGCAGAACUCCGAUUGCGAAGGCAGCAUACCGGCGCGCAACUGACGCUCAUGCACGAAAGCGUGGGUAUCGAACAGGAUUAGAUACCCCUGUAGUC